rnacentral:tRNA from 1 species
CUGGCUGUAGUUCAAUUUGGGAGAACGCUGGCUUUGGGUGCCAGUGGUUGCAGGUUCAAAUCCUGCCAGCCAGACC